AACAUUAAUUACAACUUUGAGACUGCCAAGCUUGCCUAAUAUUGUAUUGGCACCCAUUCAUUGUUACUAAUUAAUUUUCUGAAACAAUGAAUUCUUAGAAAUGGCAAAUUUCCCACAGAAAGAUUAAGCACUGGAAAGUUUUCCACCCCACAUUUCUGCUUUGAGAAGAAAACUU